rnacentral:rRNA from 1 species
CCAAUAGCGUAUAUUAAAGUUGUUGCAGUUAAAAAGCUCGUAGUUGAACUUCGGGGUCCACCCAUUGGUCAGGCUUAAUUGUCUGUACUGGUGAGAUGGAUCUCUACCUUCUGAGGAACUUUCAUGCCAUUUAUUUGGUGUGAUGGGAAAUCAGGACUGUUACUUUGAAAAAAUUAGAGUGUUUAAAGCAGACUAUCGUCUGAAUACAUUAGCAUGGAAUAAUGAAAUAGGACGGACUGAUUCUAUUUCGUUGGUUUCUAGGAUCACCGUAAUGAUUAAUAGGGAUAGUUGGGGGCAUUAGUAUUCAAUUGUCAGAGGUGAAAUUCUUGGAUUUAUUCAAGACUAACUACUGCGAAAGCAUUUGCCAAGGAUGUUUUCAUUAAUCAAGAACGAAAGUUAGGGGAUCGAAGACGAUCAGAUACCGUCGUAGUCUUAACCAUAAACUAUGCCGACUAGGGAUCGGACGAAGUUAAUUUUAUAAUGACGCGUUCGGCACCUUACG